rnacentral:rRNA from 1 species
UACGUAGGGGGCAAGCGUUAUCCGGAAUCACUGGGCGUAAAGGGUGCGUAGGCGGUCGACAAAGUCUGGGGUGAAAGGCUACGGCUCAACCGUAGUAAGCCUUGGAAACUUGUUGACUUGAGUGCAGGAGAGGUAAGUGGAAUUCCUAGUGUAGCGGUGAAAUGCGUAGAUAUUAGGAGGAACACCAGUGGCGAAGGCGACUUACUGGACUGUAACUGACGCUGAGGCACGAAAGCGUGGGGAGC